GUGUCAGCAGCCGCGGUACGACAGAGGUUGCAAACGUUGUUCGGAAUCACUGGGCAUAAAGCGCACGUAGGCGGCUGACUAAGUCAGAUGUGAAAUCCCUCGGCUCAACCGGGGAACUGCGUCUGAUACUGGUCGGCUUGAGAACGGUAGGGGUGAGCGGAACUCCAGGUGGAGCGGUGAAAUGCGUAGAUAUCUGGAGGAACACCGGUGGCGAAAGCGGCUCACUGGACCGUCACUGACGCUGAGGUGCGAAAGCUAGGGUAGCAAACGGGAUUAGAUACCCCGGUAGUCCUAGCCGUAAACGAUGGGCACUUGGUAAGGGGGAUUCCUAUGGUCCUCCUUGCCGUAGCUAAUGUGUUAAGUGCCCCGCCUGGGGAGUACGCUCGCAAGGGUAAA
rnacentral:rRNA from 1 species